rnacentral:misc_RNA from 1 species
AAAUUAGACGGCCUUCGGACUGGCAACGAGGAGGUUGGCAACUACCACCUCAAGCCGGAAAGUUCGUCAAACUCGGUCAUUUAGAGGAAGUAAAAGUCGUAACAAGGUCUCCGUAGGUGAACCUGCGGAGGGAUCAUUACACAAAUAUGAAGGCGGGCUGGAACCUCUCGGGGGUUACAGCCUUGCUGAAUUAUUCACCCUUGUCUUUUGCGUACUUCUUGUUUCCUUGGUGGGUUCGCCCACCACUAGGACAAACAUAAACCUUUUGUAAUUGCAAUCAGCGUCAGUAACAAAUUAAUAAUUACAACUUUCAACAACGGAUCUCUUGGUUCUGGCAUCGAUGAAGAACGCAGCGAAAUGCGAUAAGUAGUGUGAAUUGCAGAAUUCAGUGAAUCAUCGAAUCUUUGAACGCACAUUGCGCCCUUUGGUAUUCCAAAGGGCAUGCCUGUUCGAGCGUCAUUUGUACCCUCAAGCUUUGCUUGGUGUUGGGCGUCUUGUCUCUAGCUUUGCUGGAGACUCGCCUUAAAGUAAUUGGCAGCCGGCCUACUGGUUUCGGAGCGCAGCACAAGUCGCACUCUCUAUCAGCAAAGGUCUAGCAUCCAUUAAGCCUUUUUUCAACUUUUGACCUCGGAUCAGGUAGGGAUACCCGCUGAACUUAAGCAUAUCAUAAGCGGAGGGG